rnacentral:rRNA from 1 species
AUGGCACAACCACAAGAUGGCGCAAACAUGAUGCCUGGAGCAGAGAGACGUGGGAUGCUCGGCCCAGACAGAAGCUACAACACAGCGCAAAACUACCCACCCAGAGAAAAGACCCGAAUCAAUGUAACAAUCUCGAAAACCAGUACCGAGCAUGCCACGAGCAAUCAAGACGACGCCUUCAUGAAGGGAAAUGAUGCCAUGACGUCGUCGUCGUCCGGAUCCGAGGAACCUGACCUCGAGCCUAGGGUUUCCCCUGGUGCUCGAAGAGGGCACGAAGAAAGGCCGUGGCAGCGCCUCCAAGAAGGUGACGGCACCCGCAGGUGUCGCCGUUGCCAGCAUCUGCAAGCCGAGCAGGGAUUUCGCCCCGGCCUAUGUCCAAACAAUCCCAAAGCCGCAAGACAGGAUCCGAAGACGUGGAAUAUGCCGUAG